UUAAAGAGUGCGGGGCCUCGCGGCCACCUCCCACCCUUGUCUCUCUACACCUGUUGCUUUGGCGGGCCCACUGGGGCUCCCUGGUCGCCGGGGGACACCCGUCCCCGGGCCCGCGCCCGCCGAAGCGCUUCGUGAACCCUGAUGAAGAAGGGCUGUCUGAGUACUAUGAAAAUUGUCAAAACUUUCAACAAUGGAUCUCUUGGUUCCGGCAUCGAUGAAGAACGCAGCGAAAUGCGAUAAGUAAUGUGAAUUGCAGAAUUCCGUGAAUCAUCGAAUCUUUGAACGCACAUUGCGCCCCCUGGCAUUCCGGGGGGCAUGCCUGUCCGAGCGUCAUUUCUGCCCUCAAGCACGGCUUGUGUGUUGGGUGUGGUCCCCCCGGGGACCUGCCCGAAAGGCAGCGGCGACGUCCGUCUGGUCCUCGAGCGUAUGGGGCUCUGUCACUCGCUCGGGAAGGACCUGCGGGGGUUGGUCACCACCACAUUUUCCAUUAUGGUUGACCUCGGAUCAGGUAGGAGUUACCCGCUGAACUUAAGCAUAUCA
rnacentral:rRNA from 1 species